rnacentral:snRNA from 1 species
UCACCACUCUGGCCUUAAUGGCUUAGAUCAAGUGUAGUAUCUGUUCUUUUAGUCUUAAUCGACUAAACCGCUGUCACCGACAGCUAUACCGAUUAUUCAAUUUUUGUCGCCCGGGUGGCUUUCUCCUCUGCUUGCACGAGUAGCCACAAGAUGAUCUUGCCAUUACAGUACUGGCUUGUAUCGUCGCGGGAU